GUUGGCCAGGCUGGUCUCAAACUACCGACCUCAGGUGAUCUGCCCGCCUCAGCCUCCCAAAGUGCUGGGAUUAAAGGUGUGAGCCACCAUGCCCGGCCGUAUCUUCCCGACAAUCUUGUGAAAUAGAUACUACUAUUAAAAGUAGCUGUAUCAGAUAAUUUCUAGAUGUAAGAGGGUUCGCCAACUAUAGCUAGCAAGUCAAAUCCUGCUGUUUUUAUUUUGAGAAGGGGACUCUGUCCCCCAAGCUGGAGUCCAGUGGCCUGAACACGGCUUCUCUGUAGCCUUGACUUCCUAGGCUCAAGCAAUCCUCCUGCCCCAGCCUCCUACGUAGCUGGGAUCACAAGAUGCGCACCACUACGCCUGGCUGUUUUUGAUUUUUUGUAGAGGUGGGGAUCUCACUUUUUUGCCCAGGCUGGUCUCAGACUCCUGGGCUCAAGUGAUCCUCCUGCCUCGGCCUCCACAAGUGCUGAGAUUACUGGUGUGAGCCAGCAUGCCCGGCCUGCCACCUGAUUUUGUACCAUAAGCCUAAAAAUGUUUGUUGUUUGUUUUUUCAAUUUUUAGUGGUCGAAAAAUCAAAAUAAAAUGUUUUGUAAAAUAAUUUUAUAAAAUCCAUUUGAUAAAUUAAUAAUUUGU
rnacentral:lncRNA from 10 species